rnacentral:lncRNA from 1 species
GGCGUGACCUUUCCACCAAAGAUAUCUCCAUCAGGUAUAAUGGGCUCGGUGUUUGGGAGGUUGUUUUAGUGUUUAAUUCGGUGAGGCUCAAGUGUUUGUGGGUAUCAGCGAUAAUAAAAAAAAUGCAAAACAUUAUGCAAAAUCGCUGGAGAAACCGAGUAUAUUGAUAACCACGUUUUCGAACUGCUCAAGUCUCAAAUGAUCAAAACCGAACAAAUCUCAAACUCUAACCCCAAAUUUAAACAACGCAUCAUCUAUGGUACACAAAAUAAAAAUAAAAUGUCUAAAUC